rnacentral:rRNA from 1 species
UAGGGAAUCUUCCGCAAUGGCCGCAAGUCUGACGGAGCAACGCCGCGUGAGUGAAGAAGGAUUUCGGUUCGUAAAACUCUGUUGUUAGAGAAGAACAGCGCAUAGAGUAACUGUUAUGCGUGUGACGGUAUCUAACCAGAAAGCCACGGCUAACUACGUGCCAGCAGCCGCGGUAAUACGUAGGUGGCAAGCGUUGUCCGGAUUUAUUGGGCGUAAAGCGAGCGCAGGCGGUAAAUUAAGUCUGGUGUGAAAGCCCCCGGCUCAACCGGGGAGGGUCAUUGGAAACUGGUUGACUUGAGUGCAGAAGAGGAGAGUGGAAUUCCAUGGGUAGCGGUGAAAUGCGUAGAUAUAUGGAGGAACACCAGUGGCGAAGGCGACUCUCUGGUCUGUAACUGACGCUGAGGCUCGAAAGCGUGGGUAGCAAACAGG